GGGGCUGUAGCUCAAUGGUAGAGCACCUGCUUCCCAAGCAGGUGACGCGGGUUCGAUUCCCGUCAGCCCCU
rnacentral:tRNA from 3 species